AUUGAACGCUGGCGGCAGGCCUAACACAUGCAAGUCGCACGCGAAAGUUCUUCGGAAUGAGUAGAGUGGCGGACGGGUGAGUAACGCGUAGGAAUCUGUCCAGUAGUGGGGGAUAACCCGGGGAAACUCGGGCUAAUACCGCAUACGCCCCAAGGGGGAAAGCGGGGGAUCUUCGGACCUCGUGCUAUUGGAGGAGCCUGCGUCGGAUUGGCUAGUUGGUAGGGUAAAGGCCUACCAAGGCGACGAUCCGUAGCUGGUCUGAGAGGAUGAUCAGCCACACCGGAACUGAGACACGGUCCGGACUCCUACGGGAGGCAGCAGUGGGGAAUAUUGCGCAAUGGGCGAAAGCCUGACGCAGCCAUGCCGCGUGUGUGAAGAAGGCCUUCGGGUUGUAAAGCACUUUCAGUGGGGAGGAAAGGCUCAAGGCUAAUAUCCUUGGGAGUUGACGCUACCCACAGAAGAAGCACCGGCUAAUUCCGUGCCAGCAGCCGCCGUAACAC
rnacentral:rRNA from 1 species